ACGGAGGGUGCGAGCGUUGUCCGGAAUCACUGGGCGUAAAGCGCGCGCAGGCGGCUAUCCAAGUCAGUGGUGAAAGCCCGGAGCUCAACUCCGGAACUGCCAUUGAAACUGUUUAGCUUGAGGACGAGAGAGGUGAGUGGAAUUCCCAGUGUAGAGGUGAAAUUCGUAGAUAUUGGGAAGAACACCGGUGGCGAAGGCGGCUCACUGGCUCGUUUCUGACGCUCAGGCGCGAUAGCGUGGGGAUCAAACAGGA
rnacentral:rRNA from 1 species